AUUGACCCAGGGCGUAUCUGGAAGGGGGGUUGGAGGUGGUUUAGCGAAGAGAUGCUGGACUGCUGUGAAUCGCUAGAGAAAAUCCGAAAACAGGG
rnacentral:ribozyme from 1 species